UACGAAGGGUGCAAGCGUUACUCGGAAUUACUGGGCGUAAAGCGUGCGUAGGUGGUUGUUUAAGUCUGUUGUGAAAGCCCUGGGCUCAACCUGGGAAUUGCAGUGGAUACUGGGCGACUAGAGUGUGGUAGAGGGUAGUGGAAUUCCCGGUGUAGCAGUGAAAUGCGCAGAGAUCGGGAGGAACAUCCAUGGCGAAGGCGGCUCACUGGCUCAUACUGGACGCUGAGGUGCGAAAGCGUGGGGAGCAAACAGG
rnacentral:rRNA from 1 species